AUUGAACGCUGGCGGCAGGCCUAACACAUGCAAGUCGAGCGGAGCGGCGGACGGGUGAGUAAUGCCUAGGAAUCUGCCUGGUAGUGGGGGAUAACGUCCGGAAACGGGCGCUAAUACCGCAUACUAUCAGAUGAGCCUGGGUCGGAUUAGAUAGUUGGUGGGGUAAAGGCCGACCAAGGCGACGAUCCUUAACUGGUCUGAGAGGAUGAUCAGUAACACUUGAACUAAGACACGGUCCAGACUCCUACGGGAGGCAGCAGUGGUGAAGAUUGGACAAUGGGCGAAAGCCUGAACCGGCCAUGGCGCGUGGGGUAAGAAGGUCUUCGGAUUGUAAAGCAGUUUAAGUUGGGAGGCGUUACCAACAGAAUAAGCACCGUCUAACUUCGUGCCAGCCGCCGCGGUAAUAC
rnacentral:rRNA from 1 species